rnacentral:lncRNA from 1 species
GGAGCACAUUAAAUGUCCUCUCUGAUUGAAGCCUGCCAAGAGGGCUCAAUUUGGAAAUCUGGUGUUUUGGCUAACGAGUUGUGUUCCUCUUCGCCUCUUAUGACUCUCCUUUCUCACCUCCAGUUCAAAAUGACUGCAAGCAGCCAAGCCACCAACUCCGUCUUGAUGAAAGGGGCCGGGCUCCCAGAAGAAAAUAGCUUUGCCUUUCAACUCCACCUGGAAACGGUUGACAUGGCGCUACCUUCACUCAAGCCUCUCCACUAGCCUUGGCGCUUCCCCCAUCUCUGCCAAGGCUGGCCCCUGCCAAGCCAAUCUAAAUAUCACAGCUGGAAGUACAGGGUCUCCCCCGCCCCCAACCCUUUCUCCCACACUCUAUACGUUGUACCUUGGGACCUUUCAACAUUCUCUAUGGUCAUUCUGAACACCCGCACCCUGCCCAUCCACUACGGCAACAGGCUCACAGACCCACAACUACACAUUAGAUUUUUUAAAAAAAACUUUUGUUCCCCCUUUACACAAUACAGGAGGUGGCCACAGCAGCCGGACACAGCACCUCAACAGUGUUAAC